GCUGUUUAAUCCCAACUGUUAACAUAAGAUCAUUUGUGUGUUUGAAGAGCAAUCCCAUUUGGAUUUCCCCCUUUAUUUAUUUAUUUUCUAGCUUUUCCAAGAGAGAGGCUUUCUCAGCUGUAGGAUGCGAUUUGUGUUGCUGUCUUUUUCCACUUUCACCCUCAGCUUCUGAAGGAGAGGGGUGUUGUGGUUUUUCUAACUCUAAAUACUCAGAAGGGAGAGGGGAUGGCUGUGUGGUCUCCUAACCGAGCAGGGCAUGGCCCUUUCGCAGCCUGUGGGACCUGCUUUUUGCUCUCCAGAACAUUUAUAAACCAUUCUGGUCAGAUUAUGGGAAAAGGCCCUCACAUGAAACGCGUCUGGUGGUCUCAGCCAAAUUCUGGUGAGACUGGAGUUUUCUCAGCACCACCCAGGAUUGGAACCAAUUCCUGUGAAGCUCAGUUCCAAAACCCAAUCAUUAGGCUCACAGCUACUUUGAAAGGGUCAAGGAAGGAUGUCAGCAGUUUGGGUGGCCUGUCUGAGUGCCCACUUUGGAACAGUGAGCAGGACACCUACAAGCCUUCUGAUGUUGAGGAUGGUCUUACUUCUCCAUGUUCUGAAACCAUUUUAAACCAAAACAAAAAACAGACAACCUUGCAGGAAACUCAGAGUAAAUAAAUAGUCCUUGUCUGUUAAGUGAAAUUGUUCCUUAAGGUGGAGAGACUGAGACAGGAUCCGCCAGAAGAUUACACACUAUGUACAUUAAUAGCAAAAUCAGCUAGAAGAUUGAGAGUUUCUACCAUUAGGAAACAUACACAAAUACCAUCACACCCAGAAAAACCCAUCGAAGCUGUUUUGUCAAAAGUGUGCCUGAGAGGUAGGGGCUGGAAAAGAUAAAUGCAAACUGAAUCUGGGGGACAUCUCCUCCUGAAGAGGAGAAAAAAAAAAAGUUGUGCACAGGAAUGUUCCUUUUUAAAAAGAAACCCCUUCGGAGGCACAGAACUUGCCUGCCCGCUCUGAAGAAACAAGGUGGAUUAUUUCAGCUCUCUGGGGCUUGGAACGUGUGUGUGCAAGAGCACCCUGAUAGCUGCAAUAAUAAACAUGUCCAGCUGCAAGAGCUCUGCCUAACA
rnacentral:lncRNA from 1 species